GGGCGUAAAGCGCGCGUAGGCGGUUUUUUAAGUCUGAUGUGAAAGCCCACGGCUCAACCGUGGAGGGUCAUUGGAAACUGGAAAACUUGAGUGCAGAAGAGGAAAGUGGAAUUCCAUGUGUAGCGGUGAAAUGCGCAGAGAUAUGGAGGAACACCAGUGGCGAAGGCGACUUUCUGGUCUGUAACUGACGCUGAUGUGCGAAAGCGUGGGGAUCAAACAGGAUUAGAUACCCUGGUAGUCCACGCCGUAAACGA
rnacentral:rRNA from 1 species